GGGUUCAUCCUAACCUAGACUCUUACAAAGCAAACAUAUUAAGACCUAAUAAAGAUAUAAAAUACUUAGCCUCUAGAUCUUCUUGAAUGCUUUGCCUUGUAUGAACUUGAGUCUUGACUAUACUGUUGACUUUGUUGUUUGUUGAUUUGCUCAUCCCUUCAAGCUUGCCCUUUGAUCAAUAAUCUUUGUUGUCGAUCCUUGUCUUUAUCAAAUUCUAUAUUUCAUCAACCUUUGUCUUCAUCAAAAUCUAUGUGAUGCAUACUUGCACACAUAGUCUGUUCAUUCAUGCAUGAUUAUAUCUUCACUUCAUGACUACACAGUGAGUAGUUAAAAUAUUUCCUAUCAAAUUCAUCCGAGGACAUGGUAACCCAUUACCUAACUUAGUUCCAACAAUAGGUAGCCCCAAGAAUCAAUUUCCAAAAUCACUUAUAUCUAAAGUUAUUUCUAUUCCCUUAAUAGAACAAUAUAGCUUAUUAUGCUUAACCACUUAGUUGGAGGAAAAUACUCUAACCAGUUCUUGGUAGUAGUCUCCAUAAUUAGUACAUAAGUCCUU
rnacentral:lncRNA from 1 species